ensembl:lncRNA
GCGCGCGGGUGGGCAGCACGGGAUGCGGCUCGCUCUGUGCACUGGCAGGCCUCGCUUCCAUGGAUACCGCGGCUGUGCUGCGUGUGCACGACUUCACACGGCCCCUCGGCGCAGUGACAGUUGAGGAGGAGCCUUGGGAUGUUCCCUUGACCUGCUGUUGAGUGUCUGACUGGUUUGAGGUGUGAGCCCGGCACCGCCCUUGGGGAUUCGCUUCUACCUGGUGUGUUAGCGCGCGAAGCGAGUGGCCACCCUCAACCCGAAGGUCGAGCAGAAAGCCACCAGCCCUGAGAAGAUGGGUCUCCUCUGAGAUGAUGGCUUGACGGCCCUUUGAGACAGAUGCCACAGUGUCUUUCUCAUUUCCCCAAACAUCCUGGUUUCUCCUCCGGGCCCACAGGAGGGAAGAAGGAGGAGGAGAGUGAGACGUGAAGGAAGCGUCUGGAGGAGAAGGACCCAGGAAACGGAUUCUUGGCAACGUCCUCCAUCGGAUAAGCAUCAUCGGAAUGAAGCGCUCUGAUACCAUCUCAGAUACGAGCAGCUCUGUGUCGUUGUGGAGACGCAUAAAGUGGUCCAGGUCCUUGAAAACAUGGUACUUGGAAGUCAUCUGAUUUCUGGAUUAAAUUGUAAGGAACCCAUGUUUUGCUGUAAAUGUGAUGUGGAAGAAAAAAAUUCAAAGGUAUCUUGCGGCUCAACUGAAACCAAACACAUCAACUAUGGAGAUAAUUCACCUCUUAAAACAGUGUCUUGACUCUGGCCCUUUCCAAGCCGUCUUCUGAGAAGAAAGGAAGUUUGCUUGUUCUCUGGGUUGCAGCCUCCGUCGCCAAGUCCAAACACAAGAAGAAAUGACUGGGAAUCAGACCAUGGGGAUACCACACUGCAUGUUGCAGACGUGUGGCCUGGAGGCAGUUUGGGACUCACUCUUCAACACCAGUCAGGUCUUCUCCGAGUGUCCACUUCCCACAGGGUUGGUGUAUGGCCGUGCCCAAGGGGAGACAGAAGUUUGCUUUAAUAAGAAGAUGAGUCAAGUACCUUUGCUUUUCCCCAUCCUUUUCUAUGGCUUGUAGAACAUCUGGGAAUUUUUAAAACUCCCUACCAUAGCACAAAUAGAGCCUUAAAUAUAAUAAUGUCAUCAAGUCCUUGUGAUUAUAUGAGAUAGAGGUAAUUAUGAAGAAAGUAACUGUCAAGUUCACGAGGCCGUCCCCGUAAUGAUGGCUUUUAAGGUCUUGAGUACAGUGCUUUUCAGUGUAAAGAUAACACCUGAUUACUCAGUCUUCUACGGCCAGCAGCAGUAACUUAUACGUGUGAAACUGAGCACAGGGCUUCCUGAAGAGAGCAUUUCAUUAUUAUUUUUGGCCAUUUCAAGGACUCGUUACAAAUUCAGAAUUGGAGUUAACCCCGGGAAAGUAUGUCAGAAUUGCUGGGGGAAUGAAGGAAGGAAAAGAAAUAUGAACUUUGUUUUCUGUACAUGUGAAGAUUUAGGGACAGUAAAUACAGCAAGUCUUGUGAUUCAGACCCAAUUUACUGUUCUAACUUUUUGGGAAAAAAAAUGAAAAAAGGAGGAGGAAUAAUAAAUUUCCUGUAUUUUUUUAUG